rnacentral:tRNA from 1 species
GCGGCGAUGGGCGAGGCCGCGGGCGCCGCGGCCGUGUCACGGCCGCUGGGCACGGACCAGCAUAGCGGCCAGCUCGGAUCUGCUCUGCGGCAC